GCAAGUCGAGGGGUAACGGAAGUAGCUUGCUACUAGACGACGACCGGCGCACGGGUGAGUAACGCGUAUGUAAUCUGCCUUGUACAGAGUGGAUAGCCCAGAGAUUUUUGGAUUAAUACCUCAUAGUAUUACUGAAUCGCAUGAUUCGGUAAUUAAAGCUCCGGCGGUACAAGAUGAACAUGCGUGACAUUAGCUAGUUGGUAAGGUAACGGCUUACCAAGGCCACGAUGUCUAGGGGUUCUGAGAGGAUGAUCCCCCACACUGGUACUGAGACACGGACCAGACUCCUACGGGAGGCAGCAGUGAGGAAUAUUGGUCAAUGGACGCAAGUCUGAACCAGCCAUCCCGCGUGAAGGAUGACUGCCCUAUGGGCUGUAAACUUCUUUUAUAUGCAAAUAAACCUACUUUCGUGAAAGUAGCUGAAGGUAGCAUAUGAAUAAACACCGGCUAACUCCGUGCCAGCAGCCGCGGUAAUACGGAGGGUGUAAGCGUUAUCCGGAUUUAUUGGGUUUAAAGGGUACGUAGGCGGUAAUAUAAGUCAGUGGUGAAAUCCUGCAGCUCAACUGUAGAACUGCCAUUGAAACUGUAUUAC
rnacentral:rRNA from 1 species